rnacentral:rRNA from 1 species
UACGGAGGGAGCGAACGUUGUUCGGAUUUACUGGGCGUAAAGCGCGCGUAGGCGGACCUGCAAGUCGGGGGUGAAAGCCCGAGGCUCAACCUCGGAACUGCCUUCGAUACUGCGGGUCUCGAGUCCGGGAGAGGUGAGUGGAAUUCCUAGUGUAGAGGUGAAAUUCGUAGAUAUUAGGAAGAACACCAGUGGCGAAGGCGGCUCACUGGCCCGGUACUGACGCUGAGGCGCGAAAGCGUGGGGAGCAAACAGG